rnacentral:rRNA from 1 species
UACGUAGGUGGCAAGCGUUGUCCGGAUUUACUGGGCGUAAAGAGCGCGCAGGCGGUCGUUCAAGUCGCGUGUGAAAGCCCCCGGCUCAACUGGGGAGGGUCACGCGAUACUGAUCGACUCGAAGGCAGGAGAGGGUAGUGGAAUUCCCGGUGUAGUGGUGAAAUGCGUAGAUAUCCGGAGGAACACCGGUGGCGAAAGCGGCGCGCUGGACCACUGCUGACGCUGAGGAACGAAAGCAGGGGAGCAAA